AGUGAACGCUGGCGGUGGGCCUAACACAUGCAAGUCGAACGGCAGCACAGUAAGAGCUUGCCCUUACGGGUGGCGAGUGGCGGACGGGUGAGGAAUACAUCGGAAUCUACUUUUUCGUGGGGGAUAACGUAGGGAAACUUACGCUAAUACCGCAUACGACCUACGGGUGAAAGCAGGGGAUCUUCGGACCUUGCGCGAUUGAAUGAGCCGAUGUCGGAUUAGCUAGUUGGCGGGGUAAAGGCCCACCAAGGCGACGAUCCGUAGCUGGUCUGAGAGGAUGAUCAGCCACACUGGAACUGAGACACGGUCCAGACUCCUACGGGAGGCAGCAGUGGGGAAUAUUGGACAAUGGGCGCAAGCCUGAUCCAGCCAUACCGCGUGGGUGAAGAAGGCCUUCGGGUUGUAAAGCCCUUUUGUUGGGAAAGAAAAGCGGCAGGUUAAUACCCCGCUGUUCUGACGGUACCCAAAGAAUAAGCACCGGCUAACUUCGUG
rnacentral:rRNA from 1 species